GUCUGCAUGCACAUGCUUGAGUCCACUUUCCCAACUCCAGGAAGCUGCUGAUCACUAGUUUCAGGUGUUUUCUAUGUAGCAGGAGAUGGCCUUUCCCUGGCACUGGCUGUGACCAAUUAUUAUUUUAGAGAGACAGUUAACAACGGCCUGACCAUUACUGACCAUUACCUGAUUGUCACCUGACAUUCCUGAUGUGUGUGACAGGAGGUGGGGGGGGAGUGUGAAGUCGGAGAGAGCCCUCUUCUACCCUGCUUAUGCCUGAUGAGCUACCUACUAUAACAGUAAGACUUGCAAUUUGCUCAUUUUCUUCAAACCUAUUUUGGCUAUCCUAGGUUCUUUGUAUUUCCAAAUAGAUUUUACAAACAUUUUGUCAUUUUCCAUACAAAAAAACCUGUAGUGAUUUUAACUGUGAUAACAUUGAUUCCAUGGAUCAAUUUGGGGAGGAUUUACAUUAUUUUAUAUUUAAUCUUCCAACUCAUGUGUGUGCCAUCUCUCUCCACUAGGUCUCUACUUUCUCUCAGCAAUAUUGUAUAAUUUUCAGUGUAGAGGGUUUUACAUUUUUCAUCAGAUAUAUUCCUAGGUAUGUGAUAUUUUUGAGUGCUAUUGUAAAUGGUUUAUUUUUCUAAAUUUUAUUUUCUAGUUGUUUGUUGAUAGUAUAAGAAAUAGAAUUAAGCAAAUAACACAGGAACAGAAAACGAAAUACCACAAAUUUUUACUUAUAAGUAGGAGCUAAACAUUGAGUCCACAUUGACACAAAAAAAGGGAACAAUGGGCACUGGGGCCUACUUGAAGGUGGAGGGUGGGAGGAGAGUGAGGAUCUAAAAACUACCUUUGCCUAGUACCUGGGUGAUAAAACGAUCUUUGCACCAAACCCUCAUGACAUGCAAUUUACCUGCAUAAAAAACCUGCACAUGUACCUCUGAAACUAAAAUAAAAGUGAAAAAAGAAACGGAAUUGAUU
rnacentral:lncRNA from 1 species